rnacentral:lncRNA from 1 species
CAGCAUCUCCGCUUUCCUCAUCAAUGCUCAAACCGAGUUUCAACAUCCUGUGAAUUCUGUUGCCAAAGGUGUUUGGCUCCUCGAGGCUGAAACCUGAGGUGAGAAGGGCAGUCUCAAAAAGCAAGAGAACCAAGUCCUUCACAGACUUGUCAUUCUUGUCUGCAUCAGCCCUCUUCCUUAGCUCAUCCAUGAUGGAGUUCUCUGGGUUGAUCUCCAUGGUCUUCUUGCUAGACAUGUAUCCAGCCAUGCUGGAGUCCCUAAGUGCCUGUGCCUUCAUAAUUCUCUCCAUGUUAGCAGUCCAGCCAUACUCACCAGUGACCAAACAGCAGGGAGAGUCAACAACACGGUCAGAAACAAUGACCUUUUCAACUUUGUCUCCUAGCACAUCCUUCAUCACCUUACACAGUCCCUCAAACUUCUCCUUCAAUUCUUCCUGCUUUUUCUUCUCAUCUUCACUCUCAUCAAGCUUGAGGCCUUCCUUGGUAGCAGAAACAAGCUUUUUGCCCUCAAAUUCCUUCAGCUGACCAAUUGAAUACUCAUCAAUGGCAUCAACCAUGUAAAGCACCUCAUAUCCCUUCUUCUUCAGUUUCUCCAGGAAGGGAGAGUUCUCAACAGCCUUCUUGCUCUCACCAGUAAUGUAGUAAAUAUCAUUCUGGCCCUCCUUCAUUCUGGUCACAUAGUCCUUCAAGCUGGUCAUCUCAUCACCACUCUUAGUGGAGUGGUACCUCAGCAGUUCAGCAAACUUUGCCCUGUUCUGAGAAUCCUCAUGGAUUCCAAGCUUGAGGUUUUUAGAGAACGCCUCAUAGAACUUAUUGUAGUCCUCCUUGUUCUCAGCAAUUUCAAAGAAAAGCUCAACACACUUCUUCACCAAAUUCUUGCGAAUAACCUUUAGGAUCUUGUUCUGCUGCAAUGUCUCUCUGGAGAUGUUGAGAGGAAGGUCCUCAGAAUCCACAAUACCCUUCACAAAGCUCAAAUAUUCAGGAAUCAACUCAUCACAGUUAUCCAUGAUAAACACACGGCGAACAUACAACUUGAUGUUGUUGGGCUUCUUCUUUGUGUCAAAGAGGUCAAAAGGAGCCCUUUUUGGAACAAAAAGGACAGCCUUGAACUCCA